AUUUAGCUUUAUUUGUUUAUGUAUAAACUAUAUUACACCAUUCUUUUUGCAGACUUCAGCUUACCAAACUAAUAGCCUGAAAUUUGAAGGAUAUCCAAAAAUAUACACUCAGUUUAAUUCAAACGUAAUCUAUAUAUGCAGUUUGAAUUAUUGGAUUUGGUCUCUCUCAGUCAUAAAUAAAUUAUAUUAAGAUUUUGUUUUGCCGCUUCGCUAAUUGCAGCCGUUCCGUUAGUUGCAGCCUUUUUAUGAAAAUCUGCUUUUGGUUUAGCUCAAACAGCAAUUACAUUUAUGUAUAUGGUAUAUGGAAAUCGCACUGCAAAAUUUAUAUAAUAUGGGCGCUGGGAAAAAUAUGUGAAGCCUUAAAAAUUUGUGCGCAGCCAGCACUCACUUUCAUUAAUCCUUUAUGCCACAAGCCGUGCUAAAAGUCAUGUUGAGAAAUUAGUGGAUGGGUUAGAUAAACCAAUUCAGGUUGAUGUGCUCAACUUUGGAUUGUCUGUACUAAAAUGUCAACACUAGAUCGGAUAUAAGUCGUACCGUUACAGUAUCGAAAUGGACAAACUGCAUCAGAUCAAAAAAAAAAAAAACAUUCAGGAAACACAUCUUUCACGAUAUUAUGGUUGCUUUGCAAUAAUUUUAUUCACAAAAAAAUCUGGCAAUUACUAUUGGAGUGUAAGAGACUUCGGCGAACAUAAGUUAAACAUAGACUGUAGUUAUAUAGACUUGGCAGUACUGUUAUUUGAGAGAUUAUAAGAAUGCGCAAAACGUUGAUUGUUGUUGGUGUAGCGGUUAGAAGCAACGCUUAAGUGCUGCCAAGUUGACAGUCCUCGACCGUUUAAAAAUGCGAAUGCAUUUCGGUUACGUAGACCCGUCUGUCGUGGAGCUCUCGCUGUUCCUUAAAUAUAGGCCGGAAUAGAGAUGCCGAAACCGAAAGCAUAAAAAUUCAAAAUGGCCGCCUCUUCCUAAGUUGUUUGUUUUUUAGUUUUCAACCCUGCAAUCAACGCUACAAAAAGGUAUGUAUUUAAAGUUAAUUGGCGAAACCGAGAGUUUUGAGCAGUCACUUUACAUCACAGCUGAAGUUAUUACUAAUAUUCUAAAAAAAAUAUUUAAUUCUGUAAAUUAUAAAUAAAUAAAAAAGUUUUGAAUAAAUUGAACAAAAUGAAAACUUUA